AUUCGUUAUUACAAGCAUGUAUGCUAUCUCUGUUCAUUGUAUGCCAUUUGCAAUUUUGCAUUUAAUUGAGUAGCGUGGCUGGAGAAAAAUAUUAAAAAAUGGAUAAGAUAAUAAAAGCUAAGGAUGAUCAAAUUAUGAAGCUGCAGGCUCAAUUAUUGCAGCAGCACAGAAUAUUAGAUGACAACAAAACUAAGAAUGCUCAAAUUUUGAGUCUACAAGCUUAAUUACUGGGAGAAAACAAUUUAGAACGGGACACUUUCCAAACAGUGAAGGAGGUAUUUCAAAACUCAUCCCUAACUGAACGUGAGAAUGAGUUGGCAUUAGGCGAACACAGUCAGUUAAUCAGUCCACCACCUGACAGUGUGUUAAAUUUAAAUUCUGUUAGUGCUGCUCUAAAAGAAUCGUUAGUAAUCAGUCCAUGCAGCGAAGGAACUGUACAAUUGUGGGACCGUAUUUGGGCUGAAAAUGGGUGUGGUACGGAAACCCAGAAAUGGCACGAGUUCAACAUAAAACAUGGAUUAGAAUUUUAGUGGGGGAGCAAGUCAAGUCUGGAAGUGUUACAGGAUGGAAGAGUCAGCCUGUAGUUGAAAAAACACUGAGAGUGCAUUACCGUUAAGCAAUCCUUUAUAGUUCUGUCACAGCUACAGCCUCAAAUAAUUCUGCUUCUCCUGCUGAAGAACAACUUGUCCUUUACGUUCAGAGUGUUGGUGAAACUGGGUACUUAAAUGGCCCUAAAGAUGUUUCACUUCGCUGGCAUUGCAGCAAUAAACAUCAUACAUGGACUCUUUAGGAAAAGAUUUUCAGCAUACUGGGAGCAGCACUAUUAACAAUGCAACAUUCUACGGGUGCUAUUUUAUCAUUCAAGAGCCUUAUAGAAUGAUAUUCAUCUGCAAUUUGUAUGGCCUUUCCCAAGCUUCUGCCAGAAGUUGAAUCUCUGAGUCAUGUAAGUCACGUGAGCAACAAUUGAGAUGCUUAAUGGUGUUGUUUUUCUUUUCUCAGUAUUGUUACGGAAUCGUCGAUUUUUCAACGAUUCAAACGUCUAGCUUUCGUAUCUCUGUAAGCAGAGAGACGUUUAUCGAGUCGAAGAGUGGAACAGCUAGUUCCUUGGUUGUACGGUAAAAGGAUAGGUGUACGGAAGAAGCUCCUAGUGUAAAUGGUUAAGACGGUAUUUCUGUUAUUAUUAUUAUUAUUCUAUUGUAUUGUGUCAGUGUUCAGACCGUCCGGGUAUUUAUGUUGUUGGGACGGACGGUCUGGUGAAUCAUGUUGUGUCAGUGUACAGAUCGUCCGGGUAUUUAUGUUGUUGGUACGGACGAUCUGGGUAUUGUUUCUUGGUGGUACCUGUUCGUGGUACUGGAGACCAAGGUUAUAGAGUAGGACGUUGGUAAAGACGUCCGAUUAGACUCGCCAUUUGUUCUUAAACUUAUUUAAACUAGACGGAAACGUAACAGUAUAUAUCUCAGUAUACAAUUAUUUUUGCAACUUUAAAAAGGCACAAUAACCCUUUCAAAAGUUGCCGUCAACCCAGGCAGGGGGCAGGCAUAUCUAAAAGCUAUUUACAAUCUAUGUUCCAGCUUUCAAAAUACCCCCAGUCUUCAAAUGUCAGGGCUGGUAGAUUUGAACUUAGAUCUGUGUAUUGGGGAAGUUUGGAAAAGCUGUGUUAUCGUUUAAACUGGACACUUUAUUAUUAAGGUAUGUCAAGUAUUAAUACCGCGUUUUUGCAGGUCCAGUGAAAAUGACUGACUAACUUAGAUGGCCUACGAAAGAAAAGGGGACUUUUUGAAAUUUGAAGAUAAUAAUGUAAACAAUUUGAGUGCUUUUGUGGGCAAAAUGGUGAAAGUCAAAUCUCUUUCAUUUAAUUGAGGUUAAUGAUGUAUCAUGUAUGUAAUGGAAGAAAACAGUGAUUUUAUCUGCCGUGAAUGAAGAAGAAUAAAAGUUCAAAACAUG